rnacentral:rRNA from 1 species
CCUACGGGAGGCAGCAGUGAGGAAUAUUGGUCAAUGGGCGUAAGCCUGAACCAGCCAAGUCGCGUGAGGGAUGAAGGUUCUAUGGAUCGUAAACCUCUUUUAUAAGGGAAUAAAGUGUGGGACGUGUCCUGUUUUGUAUGUACCUUAUGAAUAAGGAUCGGCUAACUCCGUGCCAGCAGCCGCGGUAAUACGGAGGAUCCGAGCGUUAUCCGGAUUUAUUGGGUUUAAAGGGUGCGUAGGCGGCCUUUUAAGUUAGCGGUGAAAGUCUGUGGCUCAACCACAGAAUGGCCGUUGAAACUGGGAGGCUUGAGUAUGUUUGAGGCAGGCGGAAUGCGUGGUGUAGCGGUGAAAUGCUUAGAUAUCACGCAGAACCCCGAUUGCGAAGGCAGCCUGCCAAGCCAUGACUGACGCUGAUGCACGAAAGCGUGGGGAUCAAACAGGAUUAGAUACCCCUGUAGUC